rnacentral:lncRNA from 1 species
UGGGGACGGGCUGGGGGUGGCAGCCACGAUUCCCCCAGGAAGAAUAAAUUACCACUCUUCCACCCUGCACAGCCUCUGCCUGCACUUCUUCCUGCAUCGGUUAACUGGGGGGGAGGGCGAGGGUGGGAGGGAGGGAGGGAGCUGAACACAGCCCUCUCCCACCACCUGUGCCACUAAUUAGUUUGGGGAUGUCUGCUCCUGAUGAGGAAUGGCUCAAAUGCAAGCAGCCACAAAGGUGACCUAGCCCGACUGGAAAAAAGGCUGACAGCAAAAGUCUCCUAAAAGCCUGGCAGCACAGAAUGCCUGCCAGAUGCGGAACCAGGCCUGGCAACCUGCAGCAUCCUUUAGGAUGGGACUUAAGGAAGCUCCUUCAGGAAGGACCUCAAGAGGUCCCUUCCUUCCCAUCCCUUCCGUGAGCCUCCUUCUGAGUCAAAAACAGGCCCUUCUUGUACUACGGACACAGAAGAUGGCGUAGGACGCCACCACUUCACAUAACCUAUGAGGCGCUGCUCAUUUCCAUCGUCUUUCUGAAACAGCCAUGAGCUACCUGCUUGCUGUGAUCUUCAGAAGAGCAAUCCCAAGCUUCUUUACCUCUCUGGAUGGCUUGCUAACUCCAGUCCUGGAAGAUGGAUCCAGUCCCAGCAGGGGCACAAAGCAGCAUUGGUGUGGUGCUUCUUGUUUCUCUUCCUCUCUGUUACUGGAAGAAGCAUCUUGAAUGCAGUCCCACAGCUCUCUGAAAUUCCUCAUGCAAAAACUAUGGGGAAGUUCAUCUUGGUUGUGCAGAAAUACUGUACAUGUGAUCCUUUAUGGUUAACCAAGGAAGGGGACGUGGGCACUCCCAAAUAUAGAAUUACAAAGAAACAGGACAGGACGGGACGGGACAGAAUGGGACAGGAUAGGAUAGUUGGACGGGACUUAGAAAGAUCAUUGAGUCCAACUGCCUGACCAAGAGACACAGCUGUUGUUCCAUGACAACUUUUUUUCCCUUUGUGUGGGCUGUUUUUCAUUUGUUGUCUGCUGCCAACUCAGAGCAGGUUUCUGUGGGUUUGUUAUUGAACAAGGUUGUUGUGGUGUGCCAUGUGCAUGCUUCUGUGUCUUUCCUCUGAAGUUCACAUAACUUUUAUUAAAACCUUGUUCAUCAGAAUUAACUAGGGUUUUAUAAACAGCCUACUUUUAUAAGAAAACUAACUUUAUACUUAUUUUCAUAGUCUCUAAAAACAUUGCUCAGUAAUACAGAAUUUCUCCUUCACCAGUCUUUUGAAAGAGCAAUAGAAUUAAUGCUCUUUCUGUGUCCAUUGAGAGAGGCAGACACUCCUAAUUAAUUACACUUUUUAGCCACUUGUGCACAAUUAUUUUGAAGUUUUUCAGUAACAUUAUUUAUUGAAUACUUUGAUUAUUAGCUUAGCUCACAGAAGAGAAAAUUUAAAGUUCUUUCUAAAAGUCUUGCAGUUGCUACGCUUCUGCUAUGUGUGGGAGAAUUUCAAUUCAGUUAUUUAAUAAGUAAACUAAUUGCUCUAGAUGAAAUAAAUGGAACAUUUAUGACUUGUCA